AGUCCAUGAUGUGAACAUUUUCGAAACAAAUCUCUAAAUCUUUCUCAUGUCUCAUAUAAUGAUUCACCCUCUUGUUGGAUAAAACUAGUGAUAUCCAUUCUAAGUUU